rnacentral:lncRNA from 1 species
GAUGUGAGGAUGUGGGGGAGCAUCCGCCAUCCCUGGGGGAUGCGCCCUGGCACAGACGCGUUGGAAAACAAUAGGCAGUUAUGUUAAAUGUAAACAGCUGGUCGGCCGCACACCCACAGAAAGGGCCUUCCACACACAGGCAGCACGGGAUCCAGACGGGAAGGCGGCCAUGUGUCCCCGAUGCCCCCUGCAGCAUGGUUCAGCAUCUCCCAGAGCUGGGGACAGUGAGCAUCCGCAAGCUCAUGCGUGGACACACAACUGUGGCCCCUCCUCAAGGGAAACCCCCCCCCCCCCGGCGAUGAAAAGAAACAGGGGCACGGUGGCCCACGCCUGUCAUCCAGCAGCUCGGGAGGCUGAGGCAGGAGGAUCUCGGGUUCAGAGCCUCAGAAACUUAUUGAGGUGCCAAGCCACUCAGUGAGACCCCGUCUCUAAGUAAAAUACAAAAUAGGGCUGGGGAGGUGGCUCGGGGUCCAGGGCCCCUGAAUUCAAUCCUAGGUACAAGAAAAAAGAAGCAGCCGCCGAGGUGGCCCGCGGCCCAGUGGGACAGCACCUGCCCAGCAGGCCCGAGGCCCUGGGCUCCAUCCCCAGCACCAGAGGAAAAUGAAAAAGAGAAACAAGCAAAGAGUCACUGCAGCCCUAACCGGGAAACCCCAGAACACGGUCAAGGCCAGCCUUAGCCAUUUGGUGGAGCCCUGGGUCACAGUGACAAGUCAGAGGCCGGGGUGGGGCUCAGAGCGUGUGGCAUGCCGCCAGAUUCCACUGAUAGAAACUUCCAGAAAGGAUCAGCUCUAGACCCGAAAGUAGAGCAGCAAGUGGCCGGAGCCAGGCACAGCAUCGAAGAGCAGAUGAGGAACUUUGGGGCGGUUCAUCUCCGCAGCCCCUGAAUUGUCGUGUGGCUGCACAACUCGGGCCAUUUACUAAAACUCAUCUCCCUGUGGGCUUCUA